AUGAACGCUGGCGGCGUGCCUAAUACAUGCCAGUCGAGCGAACGGACGAGAAGCUUGCUUCUCUGAUGUUAGCGGCGGACGGGUGAGUAACACGUGGAUAACCUACCUAUAAGACUGGGAUAACUUCGGGAAACCGGAGCUAAUACCGGAUGAUAUUUUGAACCGCAUGGUUCAAAAGUGAGAGACGGUCUUGCUGUCACUUAUAGAUGGAUCCGCGCUGCAUUAGCUAGUUGGUAAGGUAACGGCUUACCAAGGCAACGAUGCAUAGCCGACCUGAGAGGGUGAUCGGCCACACUGGAACUGAGACACGGUCCAGACUCCUACGGGAGGCAGCAGUAGGGAAUCUUCCGCAAUGGGCGAAAGCCUGACGGAGCAACGCCGCGUGAGUGAUGAAGGUCUUCGGAUCGUAAAACUCUGUUAUUAGGGAAGAACAUAUGUGUAAGUAACUGUGCACAUCUUGACGGUACCUAAUCAGAAAGCCACGGCUAACUACGUG
rnacentral:rRNA from 1 species